UACGGGGGGGGCAAGCGUUGUUCGGAAUUACUGGGCGUAAAGGGCCCGUAGGUGGCCAACUAAGUCCGACGUGAAAUCCCCAGGCUUAACCUGGGAACUGCGUCGGAUACUGGAUGGCUUGAAUUCGGGAGAGGGAUGCAGAAUUCCAGGUGUAGCGGUGAAAUGCGUAGAUAUCUGGAGGAAUACCGGUGGCGAAGGCGGCAUCCUGGACCGACAUUGACGCUGAUGAGCGAAAGCUAGGGGAGCAAACGGG
rnacentral:rRNA from 1 species